rnacentral:rRNA from 1 species
UACGAGGGGAGCAAGCGUUGUUCGGAUUUACUGGGCGUAAAGGGCGCGUAGGCGGUCGUGACAAGUCACUUGUGAAAUCUCCGGGCUUAACUCGGAACGGUCAAGUGAUACUGUCGGAUUAGAGUACAGAAGGGGCAACUGGAAUUCUCGGUGUAGCGGUGAAAUGCGUAGAUAUCGAGAGGAACACCUGCGGCGAAGGCGGGUUGCUGGGCUGAUACUGACGCUGAUGCGCGAAAGCCAGGGGAGCGAACGGG